rnacentral:sRNA from 12 species
UGCUCUAAGUGUAGACUUAGAGGAAGAAGAUUGUUGUCAACAGUCCAGAGCAGAUUUCUUCCAGAAAUCCACGA